rnacentral:rRNA from 1 species
CACCAGACUCCUACGGGAGGCAGCAGUGAGGAAUAUUGGUCAAUGGGCGGGAGCCUGAACCAGCCAAGCCGCGUGAAGGAAGAAGGCGCCAAGCGUCGUAAACUUCUUUUGUCGGGGAACAAAGGGCGCCACGUGUGGCGUUGUGAGUGUACCCGAAGAAAAAGCAUCGGCUAACUCCGUGCCAGCAGCCGCGGUAAUACGGAGGAUGCGAGCGUUAUCCGGAUUUAUUGGGUUUAAAGGGCGUGUAGCCGGGCCGGCAAGUCAGAUGUGAAAUCCCAAGGCUCAACCUUGGAACUGCAUUUGAAACUGUUGGUCUUGAGUAUCUGAGAGGCAGGCGGAAUUCCUAGUGUAGCGGUGAAAUGCGUAGAUAUCAGGAGGAACACCGGCGGCGAAGGCGGCCUGCUGGACCGUGACUGACGUUGAGGCUCGAGAGCGUGGGGAGCAAACAGGAUUAGAUACCCCGGUAA